UAUUAGUGCGUCUUAUCUAAACCUACAAUAUUUUACACCGCUCAGCAACGGAGUCUUUUUCCGGAUCAUUGGUUUGCGCUUGACAAUGCCUGGUCGAAGUUUAAUUGCUCUAUAAUGUGAUUUUUAAACUAAGACAUGGUCUUCAUAGAAAAAGCUCAAACUUUGCAACACUAUCCAAACUUGGCAGGUUUCCACUACAUUUACACUCCCUGUAAACAUGACAUGUUGACUUAGUACCAAUGCAUCGUCCCGUGGUAUCUUUUGCAUUCCAUUCAAUCAUAUGUACUUGUACUACGUGCCUAUUACUAUUAUUAUGUGUCAUUGCAUAUAUUGUUAUUAUUUUCUUCCUGUGUGUAUUUCUGACUGUUUUGCAUUAGGAUACACGGUGGUACUUACAUAUAUUACAUCAAGUAAUGUCUCGUGUUAUGUACAUUGUCUAAGCUCAUACUACUAGUAUUACUGUAUAUUAUGUGUGAACCAUAUGAAACCAUAUUGCACAUAUGCACUCAUUAUAAACAUGACAUGUUGAUCUAGUACCAAUGCACCGUCCCGUGGUAUCUUUUGCAUUACAGUGGAGUUAAUCAUAUGUACUUAUACUACCUUUACUAUUAUUACAUGUAGUGUUGUUAUGUACAUGUAUAUAUAUAGACAUCUAUAUAUAUAUAUUUUCCCCUAUGUGUAUUUCUGACUGUUUUGCAUUAGGAUACACGGUGGUACUUACAUAUAAUACAAAUAAGUAUUAUCAUGUUCAAAUGUCUCAUGUAUGAACAUUGCGCAUACUAAUAGUGCAUAUUUCACUCUUGUUUUGUUUUUCUUUUUAUCGUCAUUGCACAUUGAAAUUUUAACAAUCAUGUAUGCUGUAUGCCCGAGAGGGCCCUAAUUUGGAAAUAAAUCAUAUUCUAUUCUA